AAAAAUUAUAAGUAUAUAUAAUUACAAUGUGGAGUUACCUACCCCAAAGAGCCGUUACACUAAAGAAUGAGAAAUCGAGUUAGCGACAUAAUAAGCUUUUUAUUAUGUAUUGCAGUAAUUAGCUUUUAAUGACGGAAACCAAUCACAUAAACUUAGUUUCGAAGCAGUUAUGGACGAUGUGGUGUGGAAGAGCUUUAUUGCACUAGUAUAGAAAAGGGAGAAGGCUUUAUUGCACUGGUAUAGAGGAUAACACAUGGAGAAGAAGGCAGUUCAUUGAACUCGAGAGCAACAUGAAUAAUUUGGAAGCCACUGCCAAUAAGGAAAAGGCAUGGAGGAAAAGCAUGGAUGUGUUACAGUAGUACCAAGAAGACAAGAUGAGUACGAAUGUAAUUCCAUCGUUGGCAAUCUCAAGACAUGACACACCCUGAUCCGGAGGAUCCAGGUGUGCUGGCCGUCACGUGGGCGUGACGUAACCAUAAGCACGACACGGAAGCGUAAUAACAACAUAUAACAACAGAAAUUCAACCCAAACUCAACAUAACCACAUACGGACAUAACCGGACGAGUUACAAGUAAACACAUAAGUUCAGAGCAUAGGUUAACUGCAGUCAAGUAGGACUAAAAUAAGAAUACAUCACCCUCAGGUGAGUCCUACAUGUCCCAAAUCUGUCAGAAAGCCGGAAAGGACCUCGUGAGCCAACCACCGCUAAACUAGAACCUGGAGGGGCGCAAAACAAAAUGAGUGGGUCAGUAAAACAAAUUAGUUUUCCAAAACAUUUCAUUAAAACAGUUAUAUCCCCUCGCCGUAAAAACCUGUAUACUUUCCCAGAAACAUAUAACCAUAUAAAAUCUCAACAUUUAAAUCUCAAAUCUUUAACAUUUUCAAGAAAACAUGCCAUGACAUAAAUAAAAAUAUAAAUCAGGUGAAUAAGGAAUCAAUCGGAGACCCUGCAGUUGGUCCUAUACGAUUAAUUCAAUAGCUCAAAUCCCACUAAGCCGGAGUCACCACAGUGACCUAUACGGCCCUACUCUGCACAUUACUCGGAACUACGUAAGGUAGUCUAUACGAUGAAAGGUGUAAAAAUACGCUCUAGUGCUUCUCUCAUCAUAUCAUCAGCGCGCAUAACUAAGGUCACCCACUAGUCGGAAUCACGCCUAGUGAUCUGUACGACUAGCAUGUCGGAACCCUCACAUGGUUUGUACGACAUCCACCUACUUGGAUCCAAGACGAGCGUGCGGUGUGUGUGAAUAAUAUAAGCACUAACACCUGGGGUGCAGAUUAUGAGCUCAACUCAUCUCAACAACAACAAUUCAAUGAAUAAAUGAACUCACCUGACUUACCUGUGCCUCCACAGCACCAUGCAACAUGUAUGCAUCAUAUUUCAAUCAUAUAGUUCAUAAACCAAUUCAUGAUUUUCAAAUAAUUCUAUGCAUGGCAUAUUCAAAACAUAUUUUCAUAUAAACAUUUUUCUGGGAAAAACAGUAGUAUAUAGGUAAUACGAAAACAAAACUGCCCACUCACUGAUAAGUCGACGGGUCGUAACCCCCGUGGCGUCCCUGGAUGCGGUCGUCCUCGGGAUACGUCUCACCUAUAUGCGAAACAACUAUAAAAAACAUUAAUUUUAAGCACAUCACCAAUAAUUUGAAAUAACUUCUCAUACGAUGCUCAAUUUUGGUAUAUUAAUAUACCACAUCGACCUACUCGACGUCACGAGCGUCGAGAAAUUUUUAGAAAAAUUUUUGGAAGCCCCACGCGCCCCCACGCGCCACACGUGGCACGGGUCCACGCGCUGGCCACGCGCAGCACGUGCAGCGCACGUGUCGUCUUCUUCGCAGGUCUCGCCGGACUGGUUCUCCGGUGGCCGGACUCCGGCCGAACUCCGGCCGAUUUUUCAAACUCACUAUUCUCCUUCGUUUUUUCACCCAUUUUUCUUCGUAUUUUAUACCAAAUUGAAGCCCUAAGAGUGUACAAUCACGUUGGACUUGUUUUAGGGCCUAAAAACUACGAAAUCUCACCUUGCAAAAAACCAAAGAUUCGGCCAAACUUGAAACCUACGAUCCCGACGUCCAAAAACUCUCCAACGAACGUCCCCGAGCUUCCUUAGAACCUCCUAAAGCUCACCACAAGCUUGAAAUCUCCUGAAACACAACAUUUUACGUUCGCAUGAACAGUACCUCAAAAAUGGAGGUUCGGGAUCUAUGUGAAAUCGAAGGUUUCACUUCCUAAAACUAGCACCAAUGAACUCAGGACGACGAAAGGAUGAAGAUGCAUACCUUAUUUGCCUCGAUCCGUCGAGUUUUGAAGGGUUUUGGGUGAAGGCCGUACGUAUAGGGUGAGGGGAAAGAGAGAGAUCGUGAGGGAGAGGGACAGAGAGAGCUACGGGAGGAAGAGAAGACAGGGAGUGCGUGUGUGUGUGUGAUUGUGUGGUCCAACACAAUCCUCACCAUCCAUCCAAUUCCCUAACCACAAAAAAUUUCCAAAUUCCAAAAUUAAAAAUCCCAAAACUUACAAAAUUAAUUCAAUAAUGUCGCACACACACGUACCCGAAUGUCCGUCAAGGGUAGUUACGUCAAUUCACGCCCCCGAUAUAGAAAUCCCGGGACGGGCUGUGACAAUCUCCCCUCCUUAUAGAAUUUCGUCCCCGAAAUUCCCACAAUCAAAUAACCACUUAGUACCCAUAAAAUAACCUUGGGUACAUCUCUCUCAUCCGAUCUUCCGUCUCCCAGGUGGCUUCCUCUGCAGAAUGGUUAAUCCACAAUACCUUUACCAAACUCACCGUCUUGUUCCUCAGAACCUUAUCUUUCCAAUCCAAGAUAGUGACCGGUUCCUCAUCAUACGUCAAAUCCGGAUUAAUCUCUAACGGUUGAGGAGGGAUCACAUGAGAAGGAUCAGAAAUAUAAUGCCGAAGCAUAGAGACAUGGAACACAUUAUGGACCUUAGAUAACUCCGGAGGCAGUUCCAACCGGUAGGCAACUUCACCAACUCUUUCAAUGAUCACAUAAGGUCCAAUAUAUCUCGGACUUAGCUUCCCUCUUUUCCCAAAUCGUACUACACCUCUCCAAGGCGACAAUUUCAAGAAUACCCAAUCACCCACAUCAUACACUCGAUCAGUAGUAUGCCGAUCCGCUAAACUCUUAUGUCGAUCCUGGGCUGCUUUCAGGUUUGACUUAAUUACCUGAACAUUUUGAGUCGUCUCGUCCACGAUCUCAGGGCCUUCUAAUACCCGUUCACCAACCUCAGACCAACAUAAUGGCGUUCGACACGCCCUACCAUAAAGUGCCUCGAAUGGGGACAUACCAAUGCUCGAGUGAAAACUGUUAUUAUAAGCAAACUCCAUUAAGUCCAGACGAUCAUGCCAAGAAUCACCAAAUUGCAGUACUGAAGAUCUCAACAUAUCCUCCAACGUCUGAAUGGUCCUCUCUGAUUGCCCAUCAGUUUGAGGAUGAUAAGCUGUGCUAUACAGUAAUUGAGUACCCAGAGCUUCCUGAAAAGCCACCCAAAAUUUAGAAGUAAAACCUCGGGUCUCGAUCGGAGAUAAUAUUUACUGGGACUCCAUGAUACUUGACAAUCUUCGAAAUAAACAACUUAGCCAAUUUAUUCAGAGGGUAUUUCUCCCUCACAGGAAUGAAAUGCGCAGACUUGGUGAGUCGAUCCACAAUCACCCAAAUACCAUCAAAUCCAUUUCGCGUACGAGGAAGUUUAUACACGAAAUCCAUUGUUAUAUUUUUCCCAUUUCCACUGGGGAACAGGAAGGGGUUGCAUUCGCCCAAAGGGCUUCUUCCUUUCUGCUUUCACUUGCUGGCAAAUAAUACACCUGCUCACAUAUUCUGCAAUUUCUCUUUUCAUACCCGGCCAAUAAUAAAAUGGUCGAAUGGUAUGAUACAUUUUUGUUUCCUCCCGGAUGCAUCGCAUAAGCUGAACAAUGUGCUUCAUCCAGAAUUUCCUUCUUCAAUUCCUCAUUAUUCGGAACAUACAUUCUGUCUUCUUGCAUGAGCAUACCAUCUGAUUCCCGAAUUCUGAGGUCUUUCUUUUUCCCUUCACUUCUUAACCGAACCAACUCCUGAACUUCCUCAUUCACCAUCUGAGCUGCAAGUAUACGGUCCACCAAAACUGGCCUGACUUGAAAACUAGCAAGAAAAGCUCCAUCUCGGUCUUCAAUUUCCAACCUUACCCCCGUUGUCCUCAAUUCAGCAAGAAGAGGAACACGACUCGCAUAUAAGGCAUUAAGCCUACCUUGAGGUUUCCUACUCAGUGCAUCCGCUACUACAUUAGCACGACCUGGAUGGUAUUCAAUAGAACAAUCAUAAUCACUUAACAAUUCCAUCCACCUUCGCUGACGAAGAUUAAGAUCAUGCUGAGUAAACAAAUACUGAAGACUCUUGUGAUCAGUGAAGAUCUUACACUUCUCACCAUACAAGUAAUGCCUCCAAAUUUUCAAAGCAAAAACAAUUGCUGCCAAUUCAAGAUCGUGAGUAGGAUAGUUCCUUUCAUGAUUUUUCAACUGCCUAGAAGCAUAGGCAAUCACCUUAUUAUGCUGCAUCAAAACACAUCCCAAACCAUUUAAUGAAGCAUCACUAUAUAUCUCAAAAUUACCGCUAUCGUCGGGAAGUACCAACACCGGUGCAUGAGUGAGGCAAUACUUCAAUUGUUGAAAACUCCGCUCACAAUUCUCAUCCCACUCAAAUUUAACAUCCUUCCUGGUCAACUUUGUCAACGGUAAAAGCAAUCAUAGAGAAAUCCUGAACGAACCGUCGAUAAUAACCUGCUAAGCCAAGAAAAACUUCGUACCUCCGUGACGGUUCGAGGUUGCUCCCAAUUCUCCACUGCUGCAAUCUUUUGAGGAUCAACUUGAAUACCUUGAGCUGAUACAACAUGCCCCAAAAAUGCCACUUCAGUCAACCAAAAACUGACAUUUACUGAACUUGGCAUACAACUGAUGCUCCCUUAAUUUCCUUAACACCAAAUUAAGGUGUCGGAUAUGAUCUGCUUGGGACUUAGAGUAUACCAGAAUAUCAUCAAUAAAAACAAUAACAAAUUUAUCAAGAUAUUUCUGGAAUACCUCAUUCAUUAAUCUCAUAAAAGCUGCAGGUGCAUUAGUCAACCCAAACGGCAUAACCGAAAAUUCAUAAUGUCCGUACCGAGUUCGGAAAGCCGUCUUAGGUACAUCGUCUUCUUUAAUCUUCAAUUGAUAAUACCCGGAUCUCAAAUCAAUCUUAGAAAAUACACACGCACCUUUCAGCUGAUCAAACAAAUCAUCAAUGCGGGGCAAUGGAUAACGGUUUUUUAAUCGUUACCCGGUUCAAUUGUCUAUAAUCAAUACACAAUCGAAGAGUUCCAUCCUUCUUCUUCACAAAUAAUACUGGGGCACCCCAAGGUGAAGAACUAGGUUGAAUAAAACCUUUAUCAAGUAAUUCUUGCAACUGGAUUUUUAAUUCCCUUAACUCAGCAGGAGCCAUUCUAUAAGGAGUCAGAGAUAUAGGGUCCGUACCUGGAAGCAAAUCAAUAGAGAAUUCCACCUCUCUGUCUGGCGGCAAUCCCGGCAAAUCAUCAGGGAAAACAUCCGGAUAAUGUCUGACCACACCAACUUCUUCUAUACUAGUAGGAGCAACAUCAUUUAAUACCACAUGUGCCAAAUAUCCCUGACAACUCUUCGAUAAUAAUUUCCUCGCCCUUAUGGCAGAAAUAACUCCAUGUCUCACCCCACUUCUCUCGCCCACAAAAAAAUAACCUCGGGUAAUCCAGGACGAUAAAAAGUAACUGAUUUACCAUAACAAUCAAUAUGGGCACGAUUAUGGUGUAACCAAUCGGCCCCUAAAAUCACAUCAAAAUCCACAAUAUCUAACGGAAUAAGAUCAGCGGACAUAAUCACGCCCUCAACCAUCACUGGACACCCCAGAUACACACUAUCCACAAUACAUUUAUCUCCUCUAGGCAUGGCAAACUCUAAAUCAAAUCCUAGAGGUGAAGGGUGAGGUUGGGUUAUUUGAGCGCAAACGUAUGAGAAAUCACAGAGUGCGUAGCACCACAAUCAAUCAAAACCUUAGCAAAAUGACCAAGAACAUUUAACGUACCCAUUAUCAAGUCUGGAUGGUUCUGAGCCUCCUGCAGGGACAUAUGAUUAACUCGCCCCUGAGCUUGCUGACGUCCACCUCGGCCUCUAUUGCCCUGAUUACCUCGUCCCUGAGGAUUACGUCCCUGGCCUGGCUGACUAGGCUGCCUGGAUGAUCCUGCACCACCAGUAGCAACUUCCCCCUGACGGGGCUGGCCUCCCUGAUGCCACUGCGAUCCACCAGCUGGCAUAGAGGAAUAAGAAGAAUAACCUCCAAAAUCCUGAGAAUACCCUGCCUGAGGAUAAGGCUCCUGAGAAUACUGAUAAGGUCCGGAAGCAUACGGAGCAGCAUCCCCCUGAUAGUGGUAGGCACCACCACGACUCGGCUGGCCAUAACCACCCGGUCCAAAACUCUGCUGAACUGGUGCUGGAGGUGGCAUAUUAGUCUGCUGCGGUCUCUGCUGACCCUGGGGGCACUGAGAAGCCCGAUGUCCCAUCUGCCCACACGUAAAACAAGCACCAGAACCUCUCCUACACUCACCAUGGUGACGGGAGUUACAACGGCGGCACCAUGGAGCGCCAGAUCCACCAGCAUCCCUCUGACCCUGAAAUCUGGGUCCACCAGAAAAUCUUCCACCACCUCUCCUCGGGCCAGUAAAACUAUAUCCCCCACUAGAAGAACUCGAACUCGCUCCACUCUUCUUAAAAUUCUGUGUCUGUCGAGGUCCAGGAAUAGAAAUACCCUUACCCUUAUCAUUCUUCUUUCUGACCCUCAUUCUUGUCCUCGUCAUCCUCACUGUCAGGAAGAUUAUCAGAGUCCUCCAUCCUAACCAAAAUCUCGAAAUACUCAUGAUAAUCAGCGCAGGGAAGUGCAUUGGCAAAGGUACGCCACUUCUUCUUAGAUCCCAACUUGAAACGUCGAAGCAUCUCUCCCUGAUUACCAGCUAUAUCAGUGUCAUAACGAGACAAAUCAGUAAACUUUCUAUAAUAUUCAUGUGCCGACAUAUUUCUCUGUUUCAACCUGGUGAAUUCCUGCUUCUUACGGUCAAUAUACUCAGGAGGAACGAAUCUCUUCAUAAAAUGCUCCUUGAAUACUUUCCAGUCGGCUGCCGUCUCAGGUGACAUGUACCUAGCCUGAUUUAUCCACCAUGCUGCUGGUUCACGACCCAGAAACCAAGUGGUGGUCUCCACCCACCUAUUAGCAGGGAGAUUCCCCUGACUCUGCAUCACCUGAAAGGUUUUCUCAAUAUGAUCAAGCCAUUUCUCUGCUCCCUCAUGACUUUCAUUACCCAUAAACCGAUCUAACUUCAAGUUGUACAUGGUCUCCAGAGGUGUCCUCGGAGGAGGGGGAGGACGAAUCACAUUCUGUAAAGCCUGGGCCAUCGCUUCCCCUAACUGAGUAAUAUCCGGGAAAUUAGGUUCAGAAGUACGGCGGGACUCCCUACGCUCUCUACGAGGCGGCAUGAUUCUGACAGAAAACAUCAAAAGAUCGUUAAGACAUUAACAAUUUUACAGGACUGCAACCUAAGCUCUGAUACCAAACUGACACACCCUGAUCCGGAGGAUCCAGGUGUGCUGGCCGUCACGUGGGCGUGACGUAACCAUAAGCACGACACGGAAGCGUAAUAACAACAUAUAACAACAGAAAUUCAACCCAAACUCAACAUAACCACAUACGGACAUAACCGGACGAGUUACAAGUAAACACAUAAGUUCAGAGCAUAGGUUAACUGCAGUCAAGUAGGACUAAAAUAAGAAUACAUCACCCUCAGGUGAGUCCUACAUGUCCCAAAUCUGUCAGAAAGCCGGAAAGGACCUCGUGAGCCAACCACCGCUAAACUAGAACCUGGAGGGGCGCAAAACAAAAUGAGUGGGUCAGUAAAACAAAUUAGUUUUCCAAAACAUUUCAUUAAAACAGUUAUAUCCCCUCGCCGUAAAAACCUGUAUACUUUCCCAGAAACAUAUAACCAUAUAAAAUCUCAACAUUUAAAUCUCAAAUCUUUAACAUUUUCAAGAAAACAUGCCAUGACAUAAAUAAAAUAUAAAAUCAGGUGAAUAAGGAAUCAAUCGGAGACCCUGCAGUUGGUCCUAUACGAUUAAUUCAAUAGCUCAAAUCCCACUAAGCCGGAGUCACCACAGUGACCUAUACGGCCCUACUCUGCACAUUACUCGGAACUACGUAAGGUAGUCUAUACGAUGAAAGGUGUAAAAAUACGCUCUAGUGCUUCUCUCAUCAUAUCAUCAGCGCGCAUAACUAAGGUCACCCACUAGUCGGAAUCACGCCUAGUGAUCUGUACGACUAGCAUGUCGGAACCCUCACAUGGUUUGUACGACAUCCACCUACUUGGAUCCAAGACGAGCGUGCGGUGUGGUGAAUAAUAUAAGCACUAACACCUGGGGUGCAGAUUAUGAGCUCAACUCAUCUCAACAACAACAAUUCAAUGAAUAAAUGAACUCACCUGACUUACCUGUGCCUCCACAGCACCAUGCAACAUGUAUGCAUCAUAUUUCAAUCAUAUAGUUCAUAAACCAAUUCAUGAUUUUCAAAUAAUUCUAUGCAUGGCAUAUUCAAAACAUAUUUUCAUAUAAACAUUUUUCUGGGAAAAACAGUAGUAUAUAGGUAAUACGAAAACAAAACUGCCCACUCACUGAUAAGUCGACGGGUCGUAACCCCCGUGGCGUCCCUGGAUGCGGUCGUCCUCGGGAUACGUCUCACCUAUAUGCGAAACAACUAUAAAAAACAUUAAUUUUAAGCACAUCACCAAUAAUUUGAAAUAACUUCUCAUACGAUGCUCAAUUUUGGUAUAUUAAUAUACCACAUCGACCUACUCGACGUCACGAGCGUCGAGAAAUUUUUAGAAAAAUUUUUGGAAGCCCCACGCGCCCCCACGCGCCACACGUGGCACGGGUCCACGCGCUGGCCACGCGCAGCACGUGCAGCGCACGUGUCGUCUUCUUCGCAGGUCUCGCCGGACUGGUUCUCCGGUGGCCGGACUCCGGCCGAACUCCGGCCGAUUUUCAAAACUCACUAUUCUCCUUCGUUUUUCACCCAUUUUCUUCGUAUUUUAUACCAAAUUGAAGCCCUAAGAGUGUACAAUCACGUUGGACUUGUUUUAGGGCCUAAAAACUACGAAAUCUCACCUUGCAAAAACCAAAGAUUCGGCCAAACUUGAAACCUACGAUCCCGACGUCCAAAACUCUCCAACGAACGUCCCCGAGCUUCCUUAGAACCUCCUAAAGCUCACCACAAGCUUGAAAUCUCCUGAAACACAACAUUUUACGUUCGCAUGAACAGUACCUCAAAAAUGGAGGUUCGGGAUCUAUGUGAAAUCGAAGGUUUCACUUCCUAAAACUAGCACCAAUGAACUCAGGACGACGAAAGGAUGAAGAUGCAUACCUUAUUUGCCUCGAUCCGUCGAGUUUUGAAGGGUUUUGGGUGAAGGCCGUACGUAUAGGGUGAGGGGAAAGAGAGAGAUCGUGAGGGAGAGGGACAGAGAGAGCUACGGGAGGAAGAGAAGACAGGGAGUGCGUGUGUGUGUGAUUGUGUGGUCCAACACAAUCCUCACCAUCCAUCCAAUUCCCUAACCACAAAAAUUUCCAAAUUCCAAAAUUAAAAUCCCAAAACUUACAAAAUUAAUUCAAUAAUGUCGCACACACACGUACCCGAAUGUCCGUCAAGGGUAGUUACGUCAAUUCACGCCCCCGAUAUAGAAAUCCCGGGACGGGCUGUGACAAGACAUCCCACAACUUCAUCAUCCUCUGCUAAACUAACCUUGAAAUCGAACCUUAAAAAACCCAAAUUUCCAAUUGCAAACCCAAGUGCACUGAGUAUUAUCAGUUUUGGAGGGAUUGAACACUCAAACAACUCAUAUAACCCUUAUCGCAAAACCCUAUCCAACCCCCAUUUGUUGCGUUUGAUCGACUCCAACCCAAGGGAAAUAAUAUGUUUCCUUGAUUGCCCCUACAGUCAGUAUCAUGUGCCCCUCAUGUGACUGAUUUUAACAGAACUAUUGACGGCUUUAAUGAAAAGGACUAUAGCUACAUAUUUUGACGAGUUGAGGGACCAAUAGUCAUGGAAAUAAAAUUGAGGGACCAUUCCUCUAAUUGUAUUAAAGUUGAAAACCUUUGCUACAAUUUCCUCUAUAUAAUUACAAAAAAAUUAUAAGUAUAUAUAAUUACAAUGUGGAGUUAUCUACCCCAAAGAGCCGUUUCACUAGGUAUC
rnacentral:lncRNA from 1 species